GCUAACUACGUGCCAGGAGCGGUGGUAAUACGGAUGGGGCUAGGGUUUUGCGGAGGUAUUGGGGGGAAAGGGCGGGUAGGCGGCCUGGCAAGUCGGCUGUGAAAACUCGAGGCUCAACCUCGAGAUGUCGGCGGAAACUGCCUGGCUAGAGUCCGGAAGAGGAGAGUGGAAUUCCUGGUGUAGCGGUGAAAUGCGCAGAUAUCAGGAAGAACACCUAUGGCGAAGGCAGCUCUCUGGGACGGUACUGACGCUGAGACGCGAAAGCGUGGGGAGCGAACAGGAUUAGAUACCCUAGUAGUG
rnacentral:rRNA from 1 species